GACAGAGGCCUCAAGCGUUAGGCGGAAUCACUGGGCUUAAAGCGUGUGUAGGCGGACUUCUAAGUGCCUUGUGAAAUCCCACGGCUCAACCGUGGAACUGCUGGGCAUACUGGGGAGUCUUGGGCCAUUCAGGGGCAACUGGAACAAGCGGUGGAGCGGUGAAAUGCGUAGAUAUACGGAGGAACACCAGCGGCGAAGGCGGGUAGCUGGGCCAACACUGACGCUAAAGUGCGAAAGCUAGGGGAGCAAACGGG
rnacentral:rRNA from 1 species